CUUUGUCCUUUGCAGCUGACCGCCUCACUUCCAUCCACCCACUGCUGCUGUGGUGCUGGUAGUGCUGGAAGAGCUUGGGUUGGCCUUCAGCAUUUUCUCCAGUCACCCAGUGAACGAAGGGAGAAAGGGUCAGAAGAGAGCACUUCUCCUAAAAACCCAAUACCAGCCUAGUAUAUUUCAGUAUUUCAAAUCUGCAGCAUGGUGUAGAUAGUUGAUGGGGCUGCGACUACUGAUCUGCCUCCUGUGUCAUUCUCUGGGCUGUAGACUGGAUUACAACUUCUAUUUUGUGUAGUUGGCAUCUCCAAAUGCCAUUGCAGAAUUCCCAGAGGACAGAGGUGCACAAUGACACAGGAUUUUAUUGAAUAUGGAGCUAUUUUAUAGGCAGUCUCUUUGAAUCAUUAGACGAUAAAUGUCUGCAAGGCUGAAGAGAAGAGGAAUUUCCAACUGGCUCUUAAUGCUGAUGAAUUAUUGUUGCUUACAUGGUUUGGAGAGCUUUUUCUUCAGUAUUUGCCUUGCUCUCUUCAUCAUACAAUGGUAGUUGGAGAAUAACAUAGCUAAUGUUUCUAGUGGCAUUAUAUGUAACAGCUUGAACUGAAACAUUAACACUUUGACUAUUUCUCAAUAUAAUAAAAUGAUAACAUAUAACUGCGGGGAUCUAUCACAUUUCUUAAAUUGAUCUCACUUCCAAUGAAGGACAUUCUAAAAAAAUCUCUCAUUUUGUGCCUUUCUAAAGCAUUCAUCCCAUCACUGAAAGGCAGUAUUUCUCUUUAACUUGAAUUUCGGUCUGUGUGGAAGAAGGAAAGAAAACUACUUCUGUUGGAGGUAAAAUAAAUUCUGGUGUGCUCUGUUUCUCCCACCUGUAUGUUUGUUGUUAAUGUUUUGUUCUUGUGUCAGCAAAGGCCAGACAGCCAUCAAUAUGUCAUCUUCAGAGCAUUCUAGUGAGAAGGGAUAAGGCUGACAUCUAUGGUAAGAGAUACGCAUGGAGAGAUGGUGCCCCUAUGUAACUAUCAUUACAGUAAACAUCUAGGUGCUCUUCCCAAACUUUUCCAAACAGGCUUUCUUUGCUGUUCUUAACAGUUCAAUAAUAACAGUUUAAUAAGGAAUUAGCUGCGUUCAGCUGAAGUGGGAUAGUUCAACCAGUCUAUAUGCGGUUGAGGUAUGAUUGAUGGCCAUUUGUUCUGCCUUGCUGCAGUGCUGUAAGACAGAAUUGACAGGUUUUCAGCUAUUGUGAUCCCAUCACAUAGCAACUACUGAUUAUAUCUCUAGUUGCUGGGGGUCAUUGCCAUUUGUCUGAAAUGGACCUUGCUUUUAUCUAAGUUUUCAUCUGAUUGAAGGCUGCUCUGUAGAGGAUAGUCCUCACAUCUUCUUCAGAACAUCUGAAAAUGUUUUUUGGAGAGACACUGGGCAGCAUGUGUUCUGCUGCUCAAUUCAGCGCACUGACUGCUCAGUGGCUUCUGUGUGAAGCUUAAAGAGUCAGUCUAAAACUAUGAAAUAUGUGGCGGUUUAUUCAACAAAGUUGACUGAAUCCCUCCAGCAGAACCACAGAUGGAUUAACAGUGUGAGGUUAUUGAGCCAAGUCUUUCCUUGACUGCUGUGUCAAAGUUGCUUUUGUUUAGAUGUUGAAGUCACUGCUGCCAGGUCCUCUCAGGUACCCUCAAAACCUGUAAAAGGAAGCUGUCUUCUGAGAAGCUCAUCUGUUUUCCAGACCUACCCGAGAAGGAAAAAGGAAAAACUGCUGAUGGACAUAAGUUUGCAGUUAUUUCUUUUCUUUGCUCAUUGUUUACUCUGUAGUUAGUUGGAUUUGUAAGAAAUACAAGCACUAUAGUAAGCAGAGAUAGCAAAUGACUUUCUCCUGUUCUUGAAUGAUUUGGUCAGUCUGUGCAUUCUGCAUAAGAUCUUUCUUGACUAGGAUGCUUUGGGGAAAAUUUAGAGGACAAAAUUGACUUUCAGUUAAGGCAUGGCUGGGUUCCAUCCCUGGGACUUGGUUCAAUUAUCAGUUAUGUCUCAGACUUUCUUUGCACUGGGAAGGUAAUGUGCAAGGAAGUCAUGUAGCUUAAAUCAUGUGGCAGUAGGAAGAUGCUGGGAAGACAGAAGCAUCUAUGCUUCCUCUGUGCUGAUGAACAUACUGCAUGUUUCUGUGUAACUCCAAUACAGCUCUUCCUUGUGUUUUGGACUAUUACAGCCCAUGUGAUCCAAGGGCAGGUCUUGGGAAUUCUCAGCAUUCUUCUCAGGAUGACUGUGGUCCUAAAAGGCAAUUGCAGUUGUUCUCAGCUGACAAAACAGCCACAGAAAUAACAGGAAGGAAGAGCUUGUCACAGGUUUUAAUCAAGCGUCUCAUAAAGUAGUUCCUUUCCUGCCUUUUUUCCUGCUGCAAAAUUGGAAAUGCUAAACAUUUUUAAAAACAUCAGCCACAGAGAACUGGUGGGACCACACUGUGGGGAUCCAAGUGCAUGUUGGUUCCAUUUACUGAAAGCCUUGGCCAUGUCUAGGUAAGAGGCCUGCUGCCAGGGCAGCAGUACCCAUUGUGACCCAUUGGGACACAAGCCUGUCUACAGCGUUGAGGAGAACUAUCUUAGCAGCUGCCUUAGCACAUCUUAUCCGCUUUGUAUUUUCUUAUGCACCAUGCACUAUGUAAAGCAUCAUAAUGAAUUAUCAAAACAGAAUUACCAGUCUGCAGCCGUAGAAUGAAACUUUCUGAAGAAUUGCUGUGGGCUUCUGCAGCAGCGUUGAAAUCUACUGUGGCACAGCACACAUCAUUGAGAUGCAGGUUGGUGUGUCCUUCAGAUUUCUGGGGAUCAUAAUUACACAAAUCAAGGGUUCUUUGACCAUGGUGUCAGUAAUUUGCCAUUGCAGCUGAGACGAGAUGAUACAGCCUUGCACACGGAUGAAAUCAUCCUAAAAUUAGCUGGAUUAGUGAAAUGAUUGCAUUUAGACAAAAUCAGCAACCAGUACAAGGGCAGUGCAUCUGAAAUGCCUGUUGGCAAGGUCAAAUCAAGGCAGAUUCUUCCUUCAAAUUAUUAAAUCUUUUCCCUAAAUCCAGAUAGUUAUAUUCUUACAACUAAAGUUUCCUGUUGGCUGCCUAGCAGUCUCAGUAGACAUUUACCCACUGUGGGUUUUGAGUGGCUGUGUGACUCCCAGCAUUUGUCGACUUCCCAUCUGCUCGUGUUUUGCAGUGUAGGAGUGUGAGAUGGGCAGAGUUUAGAGACUGUCCUCUUUUUUUUUUUUUUCAGGAGUCUGUAUUUCAGCAAAGUUUAAAGGAGACCAAACGUGAAGCGUUGCUGUUUUGGUUGUGGUCUUCCUGUUUGUGGUUGGGUUUCUGUUUGGUUUCUGGGUUUUGUUUGCUGUGGGUUCUUAAAUACACUGAAGACACACUUGGCCUAGAGAGUCCCCACACAGAAAAUAAUGAAGGACGGAGGGUGGAGGGGAAGAUGUCCUACUUACCUGUGCUAUUUACUCACAGAAUCACAUGAUAGUCGAGCUUGGAAUGGAUCUCUGAGUCCUUCUGGCCCAACCCCAGCUCAAGCAGGCGAUCUGCAGCACAUUGCUCAGGUUUAAUGUGUGGCUUCAGUAGAUUCAGUUCAUUGUCUCAUUUCCAGAUCUGUCACUGUCUGUGAUUAGAGAUAUAGAGAUGACGUAGAGAUGACAUGAAAUGUUUCAAGAUCUAUAGAUGAAAUAUACUAAGAAAACAUAAAAGCAUUACUGUAAUGUAAUGGACUUAUCUUCCAAGUACUGUGCAUCCUAAAGAAAAUCAUAAGAGAUGAACUUCUCUGCAAAGUCAUUGUCCUGGACCUGACAUGGCCCAAAGCUGCUGGAGUUCAAGGAGCAUUUGGACAACACUCUUAAUAGUUUGGAUUUUGGGUGGUCCUGUGUGGAGCCAGGAGUUGGAUUAAUUCUUGCAUGUCCUUUCCAGUUUGGGAUUGUGAGAUAAUAGUCUGGUCAUCAAAUCAAGCCCAGAAUAAGUCUGUUGGUGCUCCCAAUAUUGGCACCAGCAUGCAAAAGUCCCUUUGCUUCCCCAGCUUGGAGCCCAGCCCCUCUUACUAUUGCAGCACCAGGCAGCCCUCUGCCUUCCUGUCCCCCAGCAUCAUCUCCUGCCAACAGUUGCUCUCUUCUUGGGGAUCCUGUCAGUGCCUUGAGAGUAGAGCUAACGUGGAAAAGCUUGGAAGAGCAGAAGCAGCUUAAUGCUGCUGAGAUGAGUGGAGUGUCUCUGCCUUUUUGUUCAUGGAAUCACAACCCUGCAAACAUCAGUACUUGUUUUGCCUUUGGUGCCUGUAAAUGCUAUGAGGGGCUUGGAAGUACCUCUCAGGCAGAUUUUAUAUGUGCUGGGUUUAUGCUUGUGGCCACCAUAAGACACUAAAAGGAAUAAAAUGUGAUUUGGACCGAAGUACUUGUUCGCUGAGCACUUUAUACCAUAAAAAAUGCCUUUAAAAUUGCCUUUAAAUUGUGGAAUGUUGUGAGUUUGGCAGCUGCCUAUGCUGCUUUCCUUCUAUCUUAUGGUUUCUCUAAGAGAAGACUUAAUUCUUAACACCACGUGUGUUUUGGUGUAAGGGCAGAGCCAAGGCUGCCCGUAGCUCUUGUUUCAUUGGGUGGACUGGGCUUCUUUUGACGCUUGGGUAGGAAUUACAUUUAACUAAUGAACUCUUCAGUCAGUACUGUGAAAAUUGAUCUUGGCGCAUUUAAAAUAGAUCCAGGGCUGAAUGUUACAGCUCGUUCAGUAUUCCCAUUUAUUACAUCCAGUGAAAUGCAUGGCAAACCUCCAGCUGAUUGCUUUGGAUACUGAAGGGAGUUGGACUCUGAUCUUUACAGGCUCCUUCCAACUGAGGAUGUUCUGUGAAGUGUUCCCCAGUGGAUGGGACCUAAAUACCUGAAAGACCUACAGACUAAUGUCACCUUUCUUACAGAGUUCUGCCUUAGUAAGAGGAGCAGUGAAUUGUAAUUCCUCUAUUUUUAGGUAUCAUGUUAAUAGAAUUUUAUAUAAAAAUAACUCUGCUUUGCCUCAGCUUUGUCACUUGAGUUAUACUGAAGUUAGUGAGGGUAAAAAGUGGCUUUUUUUUUAGGCUUGUGGGAGACUUGGAUAGGGAAGCUCAUUUUAUACAUUCACAAAAUGACCUGAGUUGCAUAGUUUGACCUUUAAUCUACUCUGUCUAGUUGCAUAUACUUUGCUUCUGUUCUAUUUCAUCAGCUGACACAAUCAAGCACAGCACACAAUUUCUAUAAAUGAGCUUGUGUGCAGCAUGCCAUGGGAUGUAAGAAUUACAGAAAUUUAGAGUGCAAUACAUGGGUUUCAACACAAUAAAAAUAGUUUUUCAUAUUAAUGCACAGCACUAAUAUUUUUGCCAUAUUCUGUUUAUGUCUUCACACUCCCCUCCUCGCAUCCGUAAAUAAUUCCUAGGUCUCUGCUGAACCUUAAAGUAACCAAUUAGUUUUCCCUUUAAUAAGAAAAUAAACUGGAACAUAAGUCAUGUUGCCUUCCGUAGGCACACCUUGCUGAGGGUCUGGUGCCGUGGUGCUGUUGCACAGUUAGGACUUAUGCCUGGAAACAUAUGUGUUACUUCGCUGAUUUCAAUCCACUUCAAGAGAGCGAAGAGACAAAUGGCUGUUUUAAUUACCCUGGGAGUUUUGAGUCAUGGAAUCAUAGAAUCACUGAGGUUGGAAAAGACCUCCAGGAUCAUCCAGUCCAGCUGUCCGUCUGCCACCACUGUUUCCCACUGAACCAUGUCAUCCAGUGCAACAUGAGCAUGCUUUUGAUUUUUAACCUCCUCUUUGAGGCCUGGACACUUGCUAUCUCUCCCCAGACAACACGACAUUCUGAUGAAUGACUUAGAUAUUUUCAGCUUAAUAAUAUUUUCUCUUUUAUUUUCUAACCGCAAAGCUUUUUAUAGUUCUCCAUACCAUACACAAAGCUCGGCUGUAAACUAAGCAGACUUGGUUCUGACAAAGAAAAUAACACCAACACCAAAGUUUUCUGUGAAUCAGACCUUUCUGCUUUGCUUCCCUUUGCAGCUCUUGUUUCAACAUGUUGAGAAGGGGUUGAUGUUCUAUGGAACUGAAUUUUCAGUGAAUUUCUAUAUUCUGUAUAAAAGGUCAGCAUUUUUUUUCUGUGUCCAGUUUAUAAAGUGAUAAGGCUGUUUUGUAAUAUGUCCGUAUGGAUUAACUGUGUUCAGCCUCAUAAAGCACGCAGUUAGGGCCGUACUGUGUUUUGCAACAGAGGAAGAAGUUGGUUAUUUCACAUACAGCAGUGUUCUGAACAAGGCAUCUUGAACUUUAACUCUUUGGCUUGGCAAAUGGAUUUGUCAUUUCCCCGAGUGCUUACAUUCAUUACAGAAGCUAUUAAGCUUUGUUUAAUCUUCAUUUCUAGGGUUUGAUGUUAAACCUGCAGGUAAUCUUAACUAUGCUUAGCUGCAAAUUAAAUGUCAUUUUUGAAAGUAUCUGCUUUAUUAGGGCUUCUGUUUUCAGGGUGGUCUAAGCAAGGGCAGGGGCUGGAGGGAGGAGCAUGUUUGUCAGCAGGCCAGCUGAUUUAGAUGGAGGGGAGAAGAAUGUGAACAAAGGGAUUUUGAUGUUCAUAACCCCUCUUUUAUCAUAUAUCAUAUGCAAUUUUAUCAUAUCCCCCAAUCAGAUCAGAUCUGUUGGUUCAACUUAAAGACAAAAAACCUCAACCAAACAAGAAAAAAAAACACUUUUUUUCUGGUGAGCCAUUUCUUACCCUAGAGGUAACUAAAUGUGUUCAUGUUGCCUUGUGUGUCUAUAGCUAAUUGCUGACACAAAACCACAUCUUCUCUAAAUUGGACCUUCAUAUCACAGUUGUUGGAGGGACAUGAAAAGACACCUUUUCAUGAAGGUGUCUAAACCUGGCCAUAAAAUGAGCCGAAUGACAACAGUUGCCAGCUGCAGUAGUAAGUCUGAAUCCUGUGAAAAGCUAAAUAUAAUCUAAAAAUGUAUAAGCUCUUCCCUACAGGUGUGAAUUCAGCAGAGUUGUGGAACAGUUGCUGGAGAAUUGCUUCUGACAUUGGAAAGUCAACAGACACUUCACGUUGGUUGCCCCAGAGCUCAUAAGGAAGGUGAGCUUGGACAGAUGAAGCAAAGAUAGAGUAUCACAAAGUGAAAUCUCCAACUAUGAGAAAUACUCAUAAUUCCACCAGAAUAAUUUGGCAGUUUUGGUGGUUUCUGGGUGAGAGAUGGGAUUUUUGCAUAAGGACCUGAACAUGUAUGGAAUGAUCAGGACAUGAGAAAGAAUUGAAAAUUCUUCCCUCUGCUUCUAGCGGACAGCUUGGCUUGUUGGGUGAAAGCGGUGGGAAGCAAUGAAUUGGAGAUCAACCAUGUGUUCCACAUAGAUGUGUCUACAGAAGUCUUCCAAAGCAGAAGUUAACGCUGAUCCCAGUGCUGAUGGCUUGCUUUCUGCAGAGACUGCUACUUUAUACUCACUAGGAAUUUUGCUGACAUUGGCAUCUUACACGCUUCUCAAGUACACCAUGUUCAAACACAAACUUGGUUGCUCAAAGAAUAAUAAAAGUGGUGGGAGUAUGUUUUGCCUUUAAGUUUGGAGCAUUUUCAGUGCACGUACCAGUGGGACUUGUUUUUCAUUUCACAUAUGCAACCCUUAAGUUUGGUACACUGCCUAGGUUGUGAUGUACAGUGGUAUUUAUUAGAGGGAGAUGCGUGUGACGUGCCUUUACUUUGUGUGCUGAUGCCAGCAGCUUUUACAAGCUUAUAUCCAGGGAAAAAAAUGUUUGGUAUGGCACAGAGGUCUCUCUAAACACUGCUGUUUGGCUUUCAGAAGGUGGUGUAGGCUUAACCCAUUGGGGGGCUUUCCACUGGUUUGUCAGCUUUGAAUCCAGCCUUGCUAAAAUUGAGGAAUGGGAGAUUAUUUGGUCACGGAAGGAUGAGAUUAAAGAUGGUGUGGUGUGAAAUUCCACUUUGUGAUACUCUGUCUUUGCUUCAUCUGUCCACGCUCAUCUUCCUUUUGAGCUCUGGGGCAACCAACAUGAAGUGUUCUGUUGACUUUCCAAUGCCAAAAGCAAUUCUCCAGCUUGCAGGCAAGGAACACUGGACUUCUUCUCAAGAGGUGCUGAACAAAAAACAAGUACACUAAGUGAGACAGCAUGGAGAGCUCGGGUUUGCCCUGCAGAGUCCUUGUAGCAUCUUCAUAAAACUCACCCAAGUGCCUUUGAAUUACGACCUUCCAAAUGUCCAUUGGUCAAGGGUAACUGGAAUUUUGAAACCAGAAUGAAUGCACGGCUGAUACUGGAGCUGGGCUGCACUCCCUAAAGGCAAGUAGGUGUUUUGGGUUUAAUGUGUUAUAACUUCGAAUACAGUUAACUAAAUCUUUUGUCAUAUAAAUAGAAAAGAAGUGAUGCAGAAGUGCUGGAAAGGAGCGGCUAGAGUCUGGCUGCUGCUGGAAAAUACCUCUGGUGUGUUGGCCACUUAUUAGGAGCUAAUUACAUUUUAAAGAUAAGCCUUAAUGGAUUUGGCGGUGAGAGUGCAACUGUAAUCAGAUCUCGUUGUUCUGUACCAGUGCCUUUCAGGUUGCUAUGCAAGGUCAAACAUCCCAUUGACUGGCAGCUGUACUGCUCUGCUUGUAGGAGAGUAACUGGCAUUUGGUAGAGUUGCAAAAUGAGUUUCCCACUGAAGCCAAAUAUAAAAAGUAUAUGAGAAUCAAACAGUUUCACUGCCUGCAAAGCUGAAAACCCUUGUAGCAUUUAUUAGGAUUUCCAGCAGGGAAUAAGGGAUAUUAAUCUUGUUUAACUUACAGGACCGUAAUAUUUGCACUGCAAUUUGUAAUGCAGAGCAAAAUUGUUCAAGCAGUGUUUCCUGAGGAACAGCAAAUUCAGUAAAGUGGGUGCUUGUAACCUUUUAUUUUCAUCAGAGGAGUAAAGCAGUUCACAGAACCCUGAUGUUCAACAGUGUUGGUGAAGGGAAGAAGAGCAGAGAGUGUGGUUACAAAUUGAAGAAGCAAGGAGUAGCUGAAACCUUUCAUGUCCUUCUCAGAGUCUUUGUUUGGCAUCACUGUUGUUUAAUCUCUGAGCUGUGCCACUGGAUCAUGUGUGCUUGUGGGAGGCAUAAACCUCAGUCUUGUUGAUAAAUCAGUCACUUGGUCAGUCCUCUGCAGGUUUUCAUUUUCCUAGUGUUGCCAGACUGCACUGAGGUCUGAGCUGACUGCAAUGAACGUGAUCUGGGCCCCAAACCAGAUCCACCUGAAGACCUGUGAGCCUCUUUCACUUUCUUGGUAAUUUUGGGAUCUCAAUAAUUUUGUUUAUACGUACACAUUGAAAUGCUGAACUUCCUUGGAUGCAGAAUGUACUGCCCUGUCAAAUACAUGCCAAAGUCUCCAUGUUUUUCAUCUUUCUGAAGAUUUGGAAUUUGGUGCAGGCUUCAGGUCAGUGCAGACGUGUGGUUUAGUUUGAUGGCAGGUGGAUAGUGGUGUUGGCAGCCACAGCUGUUUGACUGCCCAGAUUUCAGAGUGUCCCAAGGGGCUUUUCCACAGCAAACUGCUGGUAGCUCAUUACUGCAUGUCAGCAGGUAGCUCAAUGGGAGAGGUGGGCUGGAGGAUCAGGGAAUCAGCCUGGGCCCCCUGUGGGUUUUGACUACAGCAAGGGUGUUUUCGGAAACUAAGGGAUAUAAGUUGGAUACUGUUUCAAAUACCAAUUUAUGGGAAUGAAUAGAACAAAUUGCACCUUCUACAAUCUUUGUCUUCUUCAGAGUUGAAAUGUUAGAUAAAGAGAUGUGUGUUUCCAUGCAUGAAUAUUACCCCUUCAUGUGUAAUGGAUGCUGAUGUGUCUCAUAAGUUGGCUCUCAUAUCUCAAUGAUCCGAUCAGCUGCACUCUGAUCUGUAUUGGUAAAAACUGUCUGAUAAUUAUUUUUUUCCACUUCCCUUUUCUGCUCUCCCUGCUGCAUCAGAACUGCAGAGCAGAAGUCUGGAGUUACUCAGGCUCCAUCAGUGAUCAGUAGUAGUUCUUCCAUACAAUAACUUGCUUACUUUAGCACAGAAGUACUAGAAGUUUGUGGCUGAGAGUAACAUUUACAUCUCUCUUCUUUUGUUUAUGCAGGCUACAUACUGAGAGCUCUAUCACAGUGACUGAGAGGGAAGGACAGGAUUUCAUUCUUCAGUGCAAACCAACCCCCCCAAAAGGGCUGCAAAGAAUUGAAAUCAAUCUGAAGAAAAGCUAUUAAUAAUUCUUUUCAUACAACCUUACCCUGAGGCGGUUGAGCUUCUAAGGCUGAUCCUUAAGAAUGUCACCGACGUAGUGACACCAUCUCAAUGCAGGCGAUCGUCAGAGCAGGUUGAAAGAUCUCCUCUUUGCAAUGCCAUUCAGUUCUCAGAGCACUGUGUGUGCACUGUGGUGAUAAGUACUGUGCAAACACAAAAGGGAGACAUCAGACACCUUUCUGAGACACUUGUAACUUUACUGUAAAAUGUAUAAUUUAAUGUGCUGGAAAGCAGUAUCUAAAAUAUUCUGUAUACCAAGAGCUUACAUUCUCCUAACAAGAGUUUGUGUUACUUUGCAAGGUUCUUAUGUUUGCAAGCAGGCUUUCUCUGAGAGAUGAAGUACCCCUUGGUGAGACCUAUAUGCUGAACCUGUGCUUGGCUUGCUGUGCCCUUGCAAGUUUCUGCAGCACACUUCUGCUGCUGCUGGGCUGUGCAUGUGAGGAGGAUCUGACUUGAGUAGCUCUUGAGACUAACUUGCAUCUGGAAAAGAUGGAGCUGAGUCACAUGUGCACUAUGGCCACAUCUGGAAUGGCCAUGCAUCUUGCAUCUGCUUUGCAUAUAAUCUGUGCAUAUGCAGAGUUGCUGAUCAUCUUCUGGAUGCAUUGGAUGUUACAUCCACUCACAGAUUAACUCUGCAUGAAGCCUGUAGCUCUGAGGCAGCUUUUGGAUGUUCCUGGGGCAAAGGGAAAAGCCCAUACAUUUUUAUCCCCCUAAAGAAAGAUCUAGGUGGAAAUGAUGAAUGUGCCUUGAGAUGCUGGUAUAUGGGAGAGUAGAUCUGAAAUUUCAUCCUUUAGAGAGCAAAUCUGUGUGUUUGGUAAUACACAAAUGCUAGGUGAAAGAACAAGGUAAUAGAAUUUUUAAAGAUACUAUUGCUCCACAAAUUAAAAAACAUUGCUAUUAUGUAGAAACAUCACUUACAUCAAUAAUUUUCUGUAAGUUAAGCCUGAAGUGGAAAUGAUACUUUUUCACUCCAGGUCAAUUCCUUCACUAUUCAUUCUGCAGAGCCAGUUGGUCAGCUGCCAUAUUAUAGCUCCUCUUAUCUCUGCCAGCAGUGAUCUCAACCAUAGCAUGUUAAAGCACGUUACAUACCAACUGCUGUGUCCCAUACCUCCCAUCAAACAGACAACAUUUUAUAAAAUGAAAUGCAUUUUGUCAAGUAUUUCCCGAAAGUGAAGUACAAAACAAGCUGCUGGCAAGCAGAUGUUCAGCUGAUUAAAACUAAAAAAUAUUCCUAGAACUUGCAUAUCUUUUUUUUUUUUAAUUAAUCUGCUUAGUUAAUCACUUGUAAUUUCUGUCCUUAUUGUGGGGCGAUUUAAAACCUCCAGUCACAUCGUGUAUAUUACAAACCUGCAUACAUCUGAGGUAAUUACUUUGUCUGCAUUGCUAAUGUAAUAAUUCAAGGAGAAAUAAGGUAAGCUGAAUGCUCAUGCUUUAAACUAGUGGGACAGAAAGCUGAGUGUAGUCUGCUCUUCCUGCUGCUUAACCAUCUUACUGGGCAGAUGCUGCAGCCAGUGAUUUCUUAGAAAUCAAGAGAUUAUUGGCCUCUUUUUCCUCUCAUUUUAUUUAAUGACACCUUCCAGCAAUGGUCUAGGACUAGAUCCAAAGCAGAUUGAAUUUGAUGGGAAACAAAUGAGUAAUUGCAGCCCUUUGCUGUAAAGUAUUCAGAGUUGUUGUCUUACUGGCUUCAUAACAUUUAAGAAAGUGCUUUGCUGAAGUGGAGCAUACAUUUUUGAUUUAGUAUCCCUCUGCUGUAAGACUGAAUAUUUCAGUGUCUUCUGGCCAAAGUCUAUCCGAGAAGUGGCAGUACAGGAGCACAGCUGGGCUGUAAAGUGAAGGUGAUGCAUUUCUGCUCUGCAUUCAGAGGAAGAGAGAAAUAAAACAAGGAUAAUAUUGCAGUAUCGUUGAGUACCAGACAGAAGAAAAACAACUGUAAAAACUAACUAGACUUGUAGAAUGAGGUUCAGACAACUUACAAUGUCUCCAGUUGACAUCUGCUUUACUGAAUAAAUAACAGAAAAAAACUGAAAAAACUUAACUGAAAAAAGACUGAAAACAAAUAAUAGUCUACAGAGUGACAACAGUCUCUUCAGGUGUCAAAGCUUUUAAGUGUUGUAAAUUUACUCUCAGCUUUGCAGUGUUGAUAUGGAUUUUUUUUUUCAUUGAUUCACUUUCUUCUUUUAAUUCAAAAACAUAUUGGAUGAAAGAAAAGACAUAAGUUAGGCCUGAGACAUUAUGACUGAUCCUUGUCAAUCUCAUCCUGCAUUCUCUAAUGCUAGCAUAGGAGUUUGAGCUGUCCUUCCCACCUUUGAUGUCACUGAAUUUGAUUGAAGUAUAACUGAUUAAAGAGGGUUUGGAGCUGGAGUCUACCCCGAGAAAUGGAACUCAGACCUUUCUCCCUCCUGUGGAUGUGCAGUAACCCAGAAAUAGAUGUUGGGUUUUGAUUCAUCUUGUCUUGGUACAAAACGUAAUAUUCUGAUAUGUUUGCCAUUUUGGUUUCUACUUAUCUUUGCCCAGCUCCCUUGCUCCUCAGUUUGGGAAGUUGGGGGAAUCAAUCCAAAUGUAGCAGUAAGAAGGAACGUGGUAAGUGUUGUCUGCAAAACAGAACAAAAGGAAUGUAAACCCUGCAACUAUGGCAGACUCACUCUGUUUUCAAGAUGCAAGGCCAUUCAAAAGCAGAAAGACUGUGCAGUCCUUGACAAAAAAAAUGUUGAGAUCAGCAACAUUGUGUGAUUGUUUUUUGAUCCUUCUGGAAUUCAGAUGCAGUACUGAGAGUCAGGAGCUGGGAUACAACAGGGUGUAUUCCUGACAGUGUGUUCAGAAUGACAUGCAGGACCCAUAAAUUCUUCUGAGAUCUGGUGGGAGAAUUCACUGCUGGAGAGAUCUGUGAAUAAUAUGAAUGUGGAUGACCUGGUUUGUGUGUAAAUCCUCAGUGGGUUUUCUAUGAGGAAAAAUAAGCUCAGAAUGUUUGCUUCAUGCUGGAUCUUACGGUCUUCUAAGACAAAUGUAGUGUAGAAAUUGGCGGCUUCUGGAGGAAAAAGUAAUUUUUAAUUCAAGUUAUUCAGGUAAACUUGGAGUUUGCAGAGCUGCUUCCUUCUACUGGGAAAAACACAAGCACCAGGACAACUUGCAUGCAGAUGUUUUUAUUGAGAACUGCAUAAAUGGGAUGGAGGGAUAACUGAUUCUAUAAUCUUGCAUUUAAUAGAAAGCUAUUUUAAAACCAUUUGCACUGGUGCACUGUAACUCAUCGCAACGUUGUAAUCUGCAAUAAGAUUUUGAAAAGUACAAAUUAUAUUUCUCCAACGGGAUCUGGACAGUUUUAGUAUAACUUGGGUACUCAUCAAAGUAGAACUUCACAUGAUAUUUCUCUGAAACUGCUUUGUUUCAUAAGCACAAGAGUGUGCCUAGAGAAUGAUUUCUGGCAGAUUCUGGCCUCUUUAUGCUGAGUCCUAAUUCACCCCUGCUGUUCUCUGAAAUUAAAACCUUCUGAUUCUCUUGCAGGAAGAGGUGUUCCUAUUGCCAUCUGCAAAAUAUCAGCAUCUUCUGCAUCUUGCUAAAAUUCUUCUGGCCUCUCUGUACUCAUGAUUUUUAAAGAACAUUCGAAGGCAAAUUCUUAUCUUCUGUCAAACCUAGAGGUUAAGAAACUGAAUAUGCCUUGUCAUAUAAGCAAUCCAUUCAGCAGGCAUUGGUUCAUUUACUGUUUCUUAUCAGCCAUUAAACCACGUUCUUUUUAUGGUAUUCUGCUGGAGGAAAAACAAUGUUUGUCCAUUUGUGUAUGAGCCCAUCACUUCAUGCACCUCCAUGUAAAAACGUCUCUGUAAAGCAAUAGCUCAGCUUCCAAAGGCUGAGUUUCAAACAGUACAAUCUGGAUGUGUUUGCACAUUUUCUUUUAGCGCUCUCCUUUUACAAAUGUUGAAUGUAGAUCACGAGUGGAAAGGCUUAGGGAAAUGCAUUCAUAGCUUUAAGCCUGAAUAUACCUUCUGUGUGUAAUUUGCAAUACUUCUGAGAAAUCCAAAAUAUUUCAUGUCAUCAAUACAACCUUGUUUUGAAUAUGAGAUUCUUGUCAGAAAAGGAUUUGAAGAUAACAGUAAGAUAAAGGGGUGGGAAUUAAAAAUCUCUGUCUUCUAAUAAAAUGAAAAGAGUAAUACCAAAA